rnacentral:rRNA from 1 species
GAUGAACGCUAGCUACAGGCUUAACACAUGCAAGUAGAGGGACCGGCGCACGGGUGAGUAACACGUAUCCAACCUGCCCUUUACUCGGGGAUAGCCUUACGAAAGAAAGAUUAAUAACCGAAAAAAAGGAGGGGGAUGCGUUCCGUUAGGUUGUUGGUGAGGUAACGGCUCACAAAGGCUUAGAUGGAGAGGGGUUCUGAGAGGAAGGUCCCCCACAUUGUAACUGAGACACGAUCCAAACUCAUACUGGAGGCAGCAGUGAGGAAUAGUGGUCAAUGGGCGCUAGCCUGAACCAGCCAAGUAGCGUGAAGGAUGAAGGCUUAUGGGUCGUAAACUUCUUAUAUAUAAGAAUAUGUAUUAUAUGAAUAAGGAUCGGCUAACUCCGUGCCAGCCGCCGCGGUAAUUC